rnacentral:lncRNA from 1 species
GGAAAAAGGGUCUGUAGCAGGCUAUUAAGCUGACAAAUUAGAACAGGCUAAGAAACCCCCUGACUUGAAAACAAUAGGACAAGGGAGCAUUAGUCUCCAUUAGGGAUUUGUUUAUAGUUGUUUUUGGGAACAGAAUACUUAAUGAGAUGAACCCUUGAGCUAAACCAAUAAUGAUAUUCUCAUGUUAUUGAAAGAGAUUUGAAAAAGAACAAAAUUACACCACAUACAUUGACAGGAAUCAAACUCUGGGAUGGCAUCCUUGCAGAGGAACUGACUCUUGUACUCAGUGACAGAUGGCAGGAAAGGAUUUGUCCUUCCUGGAAGACCUUCAUUGCUGAAGACCUUCUGCAACGUAAGGAGUGUUUGACUUGAGGGGGAGUAGGCAAAAAGCAGAUGUCCUUCUGCUAUUAACAAGAUGUUACUUAAAACUUCUUUCUUAUCUGUCAAUUGUUGACCUCUCUCAAGCAACAUUUAUUUACUACAUGCUAGUUUUGUAUGGGCUUUUUGUCAGUAUGAAGUACAGCAUAAAAAGUUCCAAGGUAAGUCUUCUUCAGUCAAUGGAAAUAGGUUUGAUGUUAUUUGUGUAGCAUGUCAUGAACAUUGCCAAAUCUGAAUUCAAGAGGAUUUUAUGUUUUUGCAAACAGAAAUACUUCAAUAUCAUUAGAGAUAAUCUUCAUUCAUUUAGGGCUUCCCCCCCCACUUAAUCCUACAGUAUUACAUUUGUAGAUUUACAUUAUCGAUCCAUCUUAGAAUCAAUAGGAAGAGUCAAUAACUAUAAAGCUAGAUAUCUCAAGACAUUAGGGAUGUUUUAGUCAUAAAAAAAAUAAGAUGAACAGAGUCAUUGGUGAGGGAAUACUUGUCUUUACACACCACCUGGACCUUAGCAAGUGAAACUGCCUGCAGACAAAACUAGCCAUGGUGGCUGCUAUUUGUUCUAGUUCUUUUUGCCAACUUAAGAAAGGACUGUAUCAAUAAUGCAACUUUAGGGAUUACUAUUCAGGUCCUCAGUGAUAUAUCACUCCAUAAUUUACAUACCUCUGAAAGUUCUAAACCAGUUGUUUUUCUGACACCUGUCUCUGUAUUUGCCCUAGAGCAAAGCGGUGCACAUAAAGCUGCCUAGAUGUUGGUAUCAGACUGCAAGUAAUAAACUAGUCUGACAAAAAUACCA